AUGCGGGCAGACUCCUGGGAAUUGGAGGGCGUGGCGUGUCCUCCCAAGAAUGGUCCACCUGACGAGGCCCACGCUGUGCUGGGACGCCGUGCUGGGGCUCGGCGCUCUGGCCUCCCAGGGCGGCCAGUGGGGAUCCGAGGACGCCCCGAGAGCGUGCGCUGCAGAUUGUCGGAGGCCGGUCUGCCAUCCAGCACCAUUGCCAUGGGAUUGUGGCCCAGUCUGGCAAUGCGUGGUUCGCAGGGGAGGACUGCUCCUGGGGCCAGGGGCACUGGGAAGCCCGUGGGGGGGCGAGGCUGGCCUGGUGCGGCCCGCAAUGUGCCGAGGGUGGGACCAAUGCUGGCCUCAGGCCCCGGCCGCGGGGUGCCAAGCUGGGGAGACCUUCUGUAUACGGUUGCUCGGCACCAGUGGAUCCUCGCUGGAGCAGGUCUUAAUGUGGGAUUCACUGGAGAAUCGCCGUGGCUCCACAACAGGCCCCAGCAGUGCGUGAGGACAGGAGCCUUCGCCGCGUUGCUGAGUGCGGUCAGCGCCAGGGAGUUCACUCCAGAUAAAGGCCUGGAUGGACUCGGCCGGCCGGGGCACUGCUCUGACCAGCUGGAACGGACACGGCCCAGAAGCCGUGCAGGGGUCAGGGGAAGUGUGGUCGCCUGUGCCUUGCCCUGGCAGAGAGACAGCGGUAGGUCACGAAGGAGGCGUCGCACCUGCCGAUGUGUGAUGGUGAGGACCGUCACCACGAGCCUGCCAGGACCACAGCUGCGGCAGAUGCCACUCCUCCGAGGAUAUCCGCCUGUGACCGCCUGUCCAGCUUGUCAGCCAGGUUUGGGCACCAUGCAGCCCGGUCAUCCUGGUUCUGCCUCUAAAGGUGUCCCCUGUGCUGGUGCUGUACACGGUGCAUUCCCACGGUGCUCUCUGGAGGCUCAGUGGGCCGAGGGUGGGGGUCUAGCACGUGUGGAAGACCUGCAUAGACCCCAAUCUUGUGUGGCAGGAACGCCUUUGAGCUUUGAUCUGUGA
rnacentral:lncRNA from 1 species